rnacentral:rRNA from 1 species
CUACUAGGGUAUCUAAUCCUGUUUGCUCCCCACGCUUUCGCACCUCAGCGUCAAUACUUGUCCAGUCAGUCGCCUUCGCCACUGGUGUUCUUCCGAAUAUCUACGAAUUUCACCUCUACACUCGGAAUUCCACUGACCUCUCCAAGAUUCUAGCUACCUAGUUUCGAGGGCAGUUCCGGGGUUGAGCCCCGGGCUUUCACCCCCGACUUGAAUAGCCGCCUACGUGCGCUUUACGCCCAGUAAUUCCGAACAACGCUAGCUCCCUCCGUAUUACCGCGGCUGCUGGCAC